AGAACUGGCACCUGCUGCAAGCAGAGACAGCACUGUUUGUCAUUAACGUUGAUUCCUGUCACUGGUUACUAAUGGUUGUCAAACCUCAGCAAAAGAAGAUGACCUAUUUUGACUCGUUAAAUGCAAAUGAUGGAACACUGUUCUUUCAACAAAUAAGUGACUUUCUGGCUUCACAAUUUGACAGUACUGACUGGGUAUAUGAGAGAGCUGAAAGUAUACCACGUCAAUCGAAUAGUUAUGACUGUGGCGUGUCUGUGAGUAUGCUCGUUAUCUAAUGAUGC